CCUACGGGUGGCAGCAGUGAGGAAUAUUGGUCAAUGGACGCAAGUCUGAACCAGCCAUGCCGCGUGCAGGAAGACGGCUCUAUGAGUUGUAAACUGCUUUUGUACGAGGGUAAACGCAGAUACGCGUAUCUGUCUGAAAGUAUCGUACGAAUAAGGAUCGGCUCACUCCGUGCCAGCAGCCGCGGUAAUACGGAGGAUUCAAGCGUUAUCCGGUUUUAUUGGGUUUAAAGGGUUAGUAGGAGGUAGGAUAAGUUAGAGGUGAAAGCCCGAGGCUCAACUUCGGAAGUGCCUAGGAUACUGUUCGGCUAGAGAGUAGUUGCGGUAGGCGGAAUGUAUGGUGUAGCGGUGAAAUGCUUAGAGAUCAUACAGAACACCGAUUGCGAAGGCAGCUUACUAAGCUACUUUUGACGCUGAGGAACGAAAGCGUGGGGAGCAAACAGGAUUAGAUACCCUGGUAGUC
rnacentral:rRNA from 1 species